GCAGUCGUGGCCGAGUGGUUAAGGCUCUGACUAGAAAUCAGAUUCCCUCUGGGAGCGUAAGGUUUCGAAUCCUACGACUGCG
rnacentral:tRNA from 1 species